rfam:Streptomyces autolyticus strain CGMCC0516, complete genome.
CUUCAACGACCCCAACCACAACGGACGCCCCUCAGGCCGAUCCUGGCCGUAGGUCGUCAUCAAUGCCUGGACCUC